CUCAACCAAUUCUUUCUAUUUUCCGAUUAAGUUUCAUUACGUGAGGUUGUGUCCUUCCAAGUUGAAAAUAAAAUUCUUAAAUGGACUCAAACCUUAAAUCAAAUAUCAAUUGUGGUUAAAAUAAACCAAACCUUCUCUCAAAAAUUGAUUCGCAAUAUGACCACUUAAAAGUCCUCCCCCGAGAAAUGAUGAUGAUCGAAGAGGAAAUGGUGUGCGGCUGUUCCGAGAAAUUUAAGUGAAUGAUGAACCUACUUCACUUUAUGGUUGAUUUCAAUUUUCUGCAAAGGAAACGAAAAGAUAAUCAACGUAUUCGCUGAGACGAUGUGCAAGGGGAUAAGCUGAUCCUCGUGAAGAUGGAAUAACAAUUUAAUAUUUUGUUAAAAUAAAAUAAAAUGAAAAUUGUAAUGAACUAAA